rnacentral:misc_RNA from 1 species
CUAUAAAUAAAAUCAUCUACAUAGAUUCACCAUCAUCUUGCUUCUGAUGCCUCUAUAUGCUAGGCUGGAAAAAUACAAUAUGAACGUAAGAUUCAUGUUGAGUGAUCCCAAAAUUAUUUGGCAUGGCCGGAGAUAUAGUGCCUUGCCCACUCAACCUACAAAAUUAAACCUUUGUGUUGCAUUUUUUAACAUAGUAAAGAAGCCUGUUUUGGUGUUUCAUGUUUGGAUUAGAUGUUCACACAGUAUACCCUUAUAGCUAUAGAGAAUGCAUAUAAAACCUAACAUAAAAACAGCGCAGCACUUUAGCUGAGAUGGCACAACUAAUGAAUAUAGAACACCAAAACAUCCACACAACUAAUAAGUGAACAUGAAAGAAUAAUUCAUAAAAAUGUAAAAACGUACAGAAGAUUAAGAUUUUAACAAUACAAGUUAAAUGAAAGACAAAUAAUGAAAUAUGAAAAUAUUUUAACAAUUACCCAUCUGUGCAUAUGAUAGGAAG